rnacentral:rRNA from 1 species
CCUACGGGUGGCAGCAGUGGGGAAUAUUGGACAAUGGGCGAAAGCCUGAUCCAGCCAUGCCGCGUGUGUGAAGAAGGCCUUCGGGUUGUAAAGCACUUUCAGUGGGGAAGAAAGCCUUGGGGCUAAUACCCUCGAGGAAGGACAUCACCCACAGAAGAAGCACCGGCUAACUCCGUGCCAGCAGCCGCGGUAAUACGGAGGGUGCGAGCGUUAAUCGGAAUUACUGGGCGUAAAGCGCGCGUAGGCGGUCUGAUAAGCCGGUUGUGGAAAGCCCCGGGCUCAACCUGGGAACGGCAUACCGGAUGUAGAGCUGGAAGGCGUGGGAGGAAGGUGGAAUACACGGGGUAUGGGUGAAGUGCGAGGAGAUAGGGAGGAAUACCAGGGGCGAAGGCGGGCUUCUAGACUGAUACUGACGCUAACCUGCGAAAGCGUACGUAGCAAACAGCAUUCGAUAACCUUCGAC